rnacentral:rRNA from 1 species
AGAGUUUGAUCCUGGCUCAGGAUGAACGCUGGCGGCGUGCCUAAUACAUGCAAGUCGAGCGAACGGACGAGAAGCUUGCUUCUCUGAUGUUAGCGGCGGACGGGUGAGUAACACGUGGAUAACCUACCUAUAAGACUGGGAUAACUUCGGGAAACCGGAGCUAAUACCGGAUAAUAUUUUGAACCGCAUGGUUCAAAAGUGAAAGACGGUCUUGCUGUCACUUAUAGAUGGAUCCGCGCUGCAUUAGCUAGUUGGUAAGGUAACGGCUUACCAAGGCAACGAUGCAUAGCCGACCUGAGAGGGUGAUCGGCCACACUGGAACUGAGACACGGUCCAGACUCCUACGGGAGGCAGCAGUAGGGAAUCUUCCGCAAUGGGCGAAAGCCUGACGGAGCAACGCCGCGUGAGUGAUGAAGGUCUUCGGAUCGUAAAACUCUGUUAUUAGGGAAGAACAUAUGUGUAAGUAACUGUGCACAUCUUGACGGUACCUAAUCAGAAAGCCACGGCUAACUACGUGCCAGCAGCCGCGGUAAUACGUAGGUGGCAAGCGUUAUCCGGAAUUAUUGGGCGUAAAGCGCGCGUAGGCGGUUUUUUAAGUCUGAUGUGAAAGCCCACGGCUCAACCGUGGAGGGUCAUUGGAAACUGGAAAACUUGAGUGCAGAAGAGGAAAGUGGAAUUCCAUGUGUAGCGGUGAAAUGCGCAGAGAUAUGGAGGAACACCAGUGGCGAAGGCGACUUUCUGGUCUGUAACUGACGCUGAUGUGCGAAAGCGUGGGGAUCAAACAGGAUUAGAUACCCUGGUAGUCCACGCCGUAAACGAUGAGUGCUAAGUGUUAGGGGGUUUCCGCCCCUUAGUGCUGCAGCUAACGCAUUAAGCACUCCGCCUGGGGAGUACGACCGCAAGGUUGAAACUCAAAGGAAUUGACGGGGACCCGCACAAGCGGUGGAGCAUGUGGUUUAAUUCGAAGCAACGCGAAGAACCUUACCAAAUCUUGACAUCCUUUGACAACUCUANNNNNNNNNNNGUAGAUAUCUCAUUUGGAUUUGUAGCAGUUCUAGUUAUGAUUGCUUAUGUGAUAGCAAUUUUUAUCAGAGAACCUGAAGAGAUUGAAAGUAAUAGAAGGAAAUUUUAAAAUAAUAUGAGUAGUUGGUCUAUUGAAAAUAAUAGGCUAACUUCUUUUUUUAUUUAAUGAAAAGUUUUAUACUUUUAUUGAUAGACUACGUAAAAAAUGACAUUUGCAAUUAUGUAGAUAUUUUAAAUUGAUUAAGGGGGAUUUACUUUGUUAACGGUAGAUCAAGUUAAAGAACUAAUAGGAGAAAUUAAAGAUCCUAUUAUAGAUGUGCCUUUAAAAGAAACAGAAGGUAUUGUUGAAGUUUCUAUUAAGGAAGAAAAAGAACAUGUGAGUGUUAAAUUAGCAAUGGCACAAUUAGGUGGUGCACCGCAAUUAGAUUUACAGAUGGCUGUUGUUAAUGCAUUAAAAGAAAACGGUGCGAAAACGGUCGGUAUACGAUUUGAAACAUUGCCGGAAGAAAAAGUAAAUCAAUUUAAACCAAAAGAAGAAAAUAAACCUAAAACGAUAGAAGGCCUAUUAUCUCAAAAUAAUCCAGUCGAAUUUAUUGCAAUAGCCUCCGGUAAAGGUGGUGUCGGUAAAUCUACUGUUGCAGUAAAUUUAGCCGUUGCCUUAGCUCGUGAAGGGAAAAAA